CGGCAGAUUGAGCGCCCCUCUGUCGCCCGGUGAACUGAGUCCACCGAAAGCCAAAGGCAGCGGCGGGAACCAACCAACGCUCGAGGGGCCAUUGCCGCCGUUUGACGCCAUCGGACGGACGGAACAGCAGCUGGAACCGGUGAGGACUGACUGCCGACUUCCCUUCGUGCAGCUGGAACCGGUGAGAAACGAUCCUACUAUGGG
rnacentral:lncRNA from 1 species